rnacentral:rRNA from 1 species
UACGAAGGGGGCUAGCGUUGCUCGGAAUUACUGGGCGUAAAGGGCGCGUAGGCGGCGCUGCAAGUCAGGCGUGAAAUUCCUGGGCUUAACCUGGGGGCUGCGCUUGAGACUGUGGUGCUAGAGGAUGGAAGAGGCUCGUGGAAUUCCCAGUGUAGAGGUGAAAUUCGUAGAUAUUGGGAAGAACACCGGUGGCGAAGGCGGCGAGCUGGUCCAUUACUGACGCUGAGGCGCGACAGCGUGGGGAGCAAACAGG